GUACACAGAGCUAAGUGUGUUGUACUGGACGAAUACUGUAGUUUGCCAAUUGCCUUUACACGUGUGUUACAUUCAAAAUGCAUCCCUUUACUUUUGCCUUUCUUGGAAAACACGUGUCUAUGUUUUUUGAACCAUUUGCUUCCAGCCCUCCACUUUACACUUCACUAACGUUUUAGUUCUCCUUCUUCAAUGCUCCACCCUUUCUUUCUCUCACUUUUUUACUCUCUCUGUUAUCUCUUAUGAAUUUAAUUUCAUUUGGUCUUGUUUCUACUCUCACUUUUGGUUUUCUAUUUAUUUUCUGUUUUGUCUCUCGCUUCUGAUUUUAUUUUAUUUUUUUCUUUUGAUUUUAGGUCUUCUUUUAUCGAUUUUCCAUUUGAUUGGUUUGAUUUUUCAUUCAAUUUUGGUUCAACCCUGUUGCAGUAAUAGUGUUGCAUGCACUGAAUCUAGACUUGGUUGGAUGUUGUUGCAGCUGAUCCUUUUGUUCCUCCUCUCCGUCGUCCCUAAUCAAGGGCCUUUGCGUUUACUUUGAGAAGAAAGGGAAGGAAUUGCAAACAUGAGAUGCAGCAAAGGAGCAGAGAAAGCUUCAUAUUCCAAAAAUCUACCCAUUUUCCAAAGAUAUUACUAUAUGUUAUAUUGCAGGUACACCGUACACCGAGCUUAAUUCUAUUGAUUAAUUAUAUAUCAUCAUAUAUUUAAAAUAGAAGUACGUUUAUUAUGCAUUUAGCGCGUAAUGUUGUUUGUUUUCCGACGGAUAUGGUUCUAUUAUUUUUAAUCCGUGUCGAUUUUUUUAUUGCAUUUUUUGCUUAGAAAAAAAAUUCUGAUUGAUCGUACUACUAUUUUGUGACAGUUAAGUUUCUAUGUUUUACAAACAUGAUUAGUUUUAGAUUUGUGUUUCAGUGUGAAUGUGUCUCAUUGUUGACAAUUCUACUUUAUGAAAAUAAACCAGAGAUAUCUUCAUAUUUUUUGAUAGUGUGAAUUUAUCAUUACUUUAGAUGUAGCAGGGACAAUUUUCAGAUAUUCAAGUAGUCCAAAGAUGCAUUUUUAAAAGUUUUAUAGAGUUUUAAUAGAUUGUUUUUUGACGUUUGAGAAAAGCUUUAGGAGUUGCUCUACCGUCCUUACCUGUUCAGGUUUAGAAGUUCCACUACAAAUUUCUAUUGGGAUCUGAUGAGUUAUGUUGUCAAAAAAUAUUCUUGAACUGAUUAAGAAAAGUGGGAUAAAGGAUUAGAUUUCAAUUGAACCUAAAGAGUUUGGUGUUGAAAUUUUUUCUGAAUCUGAUUAAGAGCAAACCCAAGGUAGGAUUAGAAAUUGAAGCUAGCUGUGUGAAGUUCAAUGAGGUCAUCUGUUCUAUCUUCUCAUCAUCUAGAACUUAAGUGCAAUAGCUAUGCACUAGAGUUUUUUCAUGGAAGUUCCUCAAAGCAUGGAAGUUAUGCACUAGCGGCUUUCUAUCGAAGUUUCUCUUUUUCUUGCCUUUGGCUAUUCCAGACCAUUUAGCAGGCAUGGGAUUUGCUUUAUGUAUUUGAGUUUAUGAUUUCUGCUAAUUCUUAUUCCCUGUGCAAGCAGAUUAUACUAUUGAAUGUCAUUCAUGUGUAAGGACUAAGGAGAGGCUUAUAUAAGUUCCUUUGCGAAAUCAACUUAUCCUUAGAUUUUCUCUCUCUCUCUCCCCCCAGGCCUCUUAAUGAUCUCUGUUACAUGGACAUUUCGUUUUCCCGAUUUCCCUUUUAGUCCUCUCUCGACUUUGCUAGAGUAUCAACUAUGAUUGUAUUCUUAUUCAUAGCUUCACAGGUAUUAGGCAUUUAGAAGUCGGACCAUUAUCAUUGGGCAUAUAUGGUAGACUAAGUUGAUAUUAAUUUUAUGUAAAGAGUUUUAUGUGUUUGAUUUAUAAUACUUGAUAGAAAUGUUGCUUGCUAAUAAAGGAAUAGGUUUGAUUUCCGCCUGACCCAAAAUAGCAACACUAUAUAUAUCGAUGGCACAAUUUAUAUCGAUAGCAACCAUUUUCCUGUAUGUAAUUUCUGGAACAUAAUCACAUAGGCAUAUCUCCUGCUUUUAUCUUUUGGAAUUUAUGUGACACAGAUCAUUAGUUAUGUUCAGAGCUAUAAAUAUUUGAGUUGCUUAUUGCUUUGUCACUACUAGAAUUUUGGUGAGAUGAAAUUUCAAAAAGAAUUUCGAUGGUAUGUAGAUUUUAUAUUCAAGAUUAUUUACCUCAUUUUUUGGCAUCACCUUUUCUACAGCUUAACUAUCUAGAUUUUAUACUUCUUUUAAUGGCUAUUAAUAUUCAAUUUUGCCCCUACUGUUCCUCUCUUUCCUACUUUGGACUAAUGUAGCAUCUUUCCAGUUAGAAAUGUUUUUAACAUUCUUUACUAUGUACAAAUUUCUAACAUAGGAGAUAUAUUAAUGAAUGAAGGAUAUGCCUACAAGGUUACAACGAAGAUGGUAGCUUAUAUAUGUUACUGUAUUGUAUGAUGUUUUAGGACCGCUUGGGAAAUGGUUCUAUGUGUUGACUUAUAAAAUUUGGUAUCUUAAAGUUCUUUUUCUGUAAUGCAGCCUGCAAUUCUUAAUACCCACAAGUUCCUUUAAUUGGGAGAAUUAAGUGCAAAAAAUUGCCACCCAAACAUGUAUUGUUGAAAUUUUUAGAAUGCGUAAAGCAAAUGCUUUUGGUUUCUCCCAUGUAUAUGCACUCAGCUUCUUCAUUUGGAAUGUUAUCAUACGACUAAGGAAAAGAAGACGCAUGGCAAAGUUCCUCUGAAAGCAGUCUGUUCGUCUCCAGUUGCGUUUAUUUCUCUCCAAUAUGUAAUUUCGGGUCUUGGAGAUCAUGACCUACUGGUGAGCACGGGUCAUGGUUCAUCUAGUGCUACAUAUAUAUGGAAGAGAAAUUUGCCCAUUUGCUUUAGGUUCAUGGAUACUACUGUAGGGUCACUAUUUUUGGACCGGGUAAAGACCGUGGAUCUCGGAGAAACACACGUGGGCAAUUUGCACGAUUGUCCUUCGUUGGUGGCGGUCUUUAAUUUUUUCCCCUCAAAUUGGUGGUCUUUAUUUUUUGCUCUUUGCCUAAAAAUUCAUGAAUUCCGGGUUCGAGCCCCCAAUCAUUCAAAAAAAAUUUUAAAAAAUCGCAAGGCAGAGUUUGGUAGCAAAGUAUGCCU